UGUAAGCGUAUACCAAAGUUGUUGCAGUUAAAACGCUCGUAGUCGGAAUUUGGCAGUUCCGGAUGUGUGCACGUCGUGUGCGCACUUCGCGGGGAUUGCUUUUGUGGUCUUGCGUAGGAUGAGGCACUUUUAUUAGUGAACGUCCUCACGCAACCACUUUUUACUGUGAGAAAAUCAGAGUGCUCAAAGCAGGCAUUUGCCGUGAAUGUAUUAGCAUGGAAUAAUAGAAUAGGACUUAGUUCUAUUUUGUUGGUUUGUUGGGACUGAGUAAUGAUUAAGAGGGACAGUUGGGGGCAUUUGUAUUUCGGUGCUAGAGGUGAAAUUCUUAGAUUACCGAAAGACAAACUGCUGCGAAAGCGUCUGCCAAGGAUGUUUUCAUUGA
rnacentral:rRNA from 1 species